rnacentral:lncRNA from 1 species
AAACAUUCUCCCCACUAAGGCGAUCCUAGACAGCCUAGAAUUAGUUCCAAAGAUGUAACCUUGCAUCAAUGAGGAAUGCCUAGACCAGGAGAGUAAUUUCAUCCCUGAACACUUUCCUAAUCGGGAUUAUUCCAAGAGAUGAGCCAAGCUUGUUCAAGCCAGAAGGCUUAAGGCCUAAAUAAGAUUAAUGGGUUUGAAGAAUCAUAAGAAAGCCCAUGCCUGAGGAGGAGGCUCACAGGCCCGCUGAACGUGC